rnacentral:lncRNA from 1 species
UUAAACCCCACUAAGUUCAGGAGAUCUCCACCGUAUCUCCGGCGUGUGUUCGCCACGACCACCGCCAAUUCCAACUUCCACAAAACCCUAACCAGUUUUAGUUACCACUUAUCAUCAACGCUCUCCUCUCAUCUACUCUCCUCUGCAACCUAAAUUAAGCGUAUGAUUCUGUUUGAAGCAAGCUAGAAUGAGAUUGCUCAGAUCGAUUUUCACUUUCCUCCUCCUCCGGAUGUAGGCGGGCUAAUUCGAAAACAUCUUCAGUGGAGACACUCUGAGAGAUCUAAAGUCAUAUGGAACUUUGAUGCAGCAACUGCAAAGACUUCUCAAACAUGGGUUUUCAUUCUCCUUUUAAAUUCUAAUUGUUUGCUAGUUGGCCUAAAUGAACAUAUAUACAUUACCUUGCUGUUAAUAGUUGCUGGUGCAUUCCUAUCCAAAGCCACAAAUAUAAGGAUUCAAACAUGUCGCCUAAUGAACAUGUCUUCUUCAGAAGAGCUAUGCUCACCCAAAUUACAAAAAAAAGGUUGGUCGAAAUGAGCGAAACAGAUCAAGUGUUUUUGUGUGGCCGUUAGAUGUGCUUGUUGAUUGGGUCUGUUAUGGGGGUAAUAGAGGUCAAGACCGCUAGGAAGCUGAAGAAAAGAUUAUUCAGGUUCUGUUGGUCGCGGCUUCAUAUGCUUUCGGAAGGGGUUGGGCAAAGGGUUGUGAUUCUUUUGUUGUGUGAGUUUUGGUGUCCAUACAGGUUCCGAAAGGGUGGGAGGGGUGUGUUUUGGCGUGUGUUUAACUGGGUCGUGGUUAAUAUUCGGUAUAUAGUGUGUUGGUACUAGCAACUUGGUUCUCGUAUGUUCAUUUUUCGUAUAUGCGUUCUUUUUCGUGUAAAUUUCAUUUCGGGUGGGAACCUUUAUUCCGAAACCUUAGUGGUGUAGUGGGUCAAGAUGGCCGAGGCAUAAAGUCUAGACUAUCUUGGGGACAAAAUGGAAGCUAUAAGCUAGAAAUAAGGUUUUUAAUGAAGAGAUUCAGAGGAUAUGAGGUAUUCAGAAGGAUAUAUAGUGUGUGGCUGUGGCUGAAGGAAGAGAGAAGGUUUACAAGAGGAACCCGAGUUAUAAGAUGUGUCUGUACACCUACAGGUCAAUGAGAUGUAGUUAAAACAGCAAUAGUUUAGCAUUCCUAAGUGUCCAAUAUGUGUUACCAGUUUAACAUUCUUUUCUUUGUUAAUCUUUAGUAAGGUGUUUAAAAAUAUAAAUGAUCACCAACUAUAUAUUUAUCUUAUUUUUAAAGACGAGAUUUCAAAUACCCAAUUGACGAAUGUUUGUUAUUUAGUCAACCUUUUUAUUA